ACUCAAGCAAUUUAAAGGGGCUAUUAAGGAAGACAAGCAAAUUUAUAAAAAAGGAGGUUAAUCAUACCAAAAGCCCCAUAUUAACAAAUAAAAAUGUGGCAAUCCUAAGGGAAACCUUAAUAUAAGUACUUCCCGAACCAAAACAUUGUAGUAGGGAAAGGAAAGUAAAUCAACCGAGACUCCGAAAGUAAUGGUGAGUGAAAUCGGACCAGCCUAUCAAUAAUUUAAAAACUGAAAUUUCUUUCGAAUAAGAUAUCAUAUACCCGUCCGAAGGACAGCUUUGCGCGGGAGCCGAAGAAGGUGUUAGCCCUGUAGGGGUUUAAAUUAUUGUAUAUCAAGUACGAUGAGAGAUAACUUGUCGGAAUAAAGGGGAACCAUCCUCUAAGGGCUAAGUAUUAUAAAUUUAGCGAUAGUGAACAGUACUGUAAAGGAAAGUUGAAAAGAAAGUAGAUGACUAGUGAAAAGAUCCUGAAUUAGUAGCUCUAUAAGCAGUCGGAAUUUAAAUUAAAUAAUGUUGAAUGACGACGUACCUUUUGCAUAAUGGGUCAGCAAGUUAAUAUUAGUAGCGAGGUUUAAAGCCCUAGCGAAAGCGACUGUACCGAUAUAAUACAAAAUAUAUAGGUAAUGGGAUUAUGUUACUGAUAUUAGACCCGAAACGAGGUGAUCUUUCCAUGGCCAGAUUAUAAUGGAUCGAACGGGUGAAUGUUGCAAAAUUCUCCGAUGAGCUGUGGAAAGGGGUAAGCCUAAAUUGCCCAGUAAAUGAGAAAUUAUUUACAAUAUACCAACUCAUAACGGUGAAACCUAAAGUUUAAAGUUUUAAACCAUGGCAAUACCGUGGGAAGUCGUAAUGUAGUAGAAACACGGUAACUAAAAAAUGACUCAACCCACUCGGUGGGUUGCCUCUACUUUUUCGAUGUCGAGUCGAGUGGCCAACGGUCCUCACAAAAAGUAGCGGUUAGUUAUUUUAAUUUAUCUAAAGAUAAGUUCUCAUUAUUGACCCUGUAACGACUGAUUCGAAAGAUGAGACGUAGAAAACUGGUAGUCCAGUCUUGUUCCUUAAAUAAGGACAUGUCUAUGUGACACGUUGGCACUUUACAGUUUCAACUUGCUAUGUAAAUUAAAUUUGCUAAGGCAAGAGUAAAGUUGAAGGUAUAGUCUGAGCCUUAAUGAAAAUUAAGGAUUAACUUGGAAAGGCCAUUCUGACCUCGAGAUAGCUGAUAUUCCACGAAACAUUUUUUAGAAUGACACUUACGAUUUUUUUUUUUCAUGAGAUUUAUGCAGGUACAGCACUAGGAAUUCCAUACUCUGUGUUUCCGACACAGGUUAAAUUGGGGGGUGUUGCAACUCUACCAUUGGAAAUUAAUCUCGGAAUGGCAUAAAUUGAUAGUAAGUAUUCAGACUGUUCAUGAUAAGGUGGGCAGUCAAAACGGAAACAGCCGUGAGCAUGUAUUAAGGUCCCAAAAUGAUUAUUAAGUGAAAUAAAGGAAGUUACUCUCUAAAUACAGCUAUAAAGUGAGCUUGGCAGUCGCUAUCUUUUAAUGAUCGUGUAACAACGCAGUAGUCUAAUGGAGUUUAGCACCGAAAAUUUAACGGGUCUAGAUAAUCUACCGAAAUCAUGCCGCUUUGAUAUAUUAUGUCCCUGUUAUCGAUAAUUGUAGUAUAAUAUGUCCAAGUUGGGUAGUGGAACAUUCAGAACGGAUGAAGAACAGUGUUUCAUUGUUUGGACGUAACUGAAGAGAUAAUGCUGACAUGAGUAACGUAGAAAGAAGUUAUAAUACUUCUCGCCGAAUACGAAAGGGUUGUCCGGUAAAGUUAAACUGCCGGACGUUAUAGCGGCCUCUAAGCUACAAAACCAAUGUUUUGUGUGAUGAGUUUUUCACAGAAAGUCUAUUAUUUUGAAAAAUAAUAGACCAGGAAAAGAAUGUGAAUGUUCUACCGCACUGCGGCCCACAGAACACUAACUACCGUACCCUAAACCGACACAGGUUCGUUGGUAGAGAAUACUCAGGCGUAGAGAUAAUGCUUGUAAAGGAACUCGGCAAGUUGUCCUCAUAAGUUUGGCAAUAAGAGGAGCCAUUUAAUGUAUUAAAUGGUGUCACAGAAUCGGAGGCCACGACUGUUUAAUUAAAACACAGACAUCUGCUACGAUUAAUUUAUUUGUAUAGGUGUUGAAUUUUGCCCCAUGCCAUCAACAUAAGGUCUGCGAGUUCAAAUAUGCGGAUUGAAAGUCUGGUUAAUGGCGGUCUUAACUAUAAGGAUCAGAUUCUAAUAUAACUACCAUAUUAGGGUCCUUUUUAAAUUUAACUAUAUGCUGGAACAUCUUUUUAAUGGAUUGUUUUACAUUGUUUUUAUAUUUAAAUUGCGAUGGUCAUGCUUUUAUAAGCAUGACAAAUACUAUUUAGCUGGGGUGCCCAAACAAUUGUUUGAACAAUUGUUUGGGUCACCCUGGGGGUGCCCAGCGAAGCUGGGUCACCCGAUGAAUAAAAAUAAUCAACGGUCCUCACAAAAAGUGUCGGUCAAAGAAAUAUAACAUGAACAUGAAUACAUUAAUUAGUAAAGAUAAUCAGCAGGGAAUUACUAGAGAUAUUAACCAAAAAGGAUAUUUAUUUUGGUUAGGUGGAUUCUACGAGGGAGAAGGUUCUGCUUCUGUAUCAAUUAGUAUAAGUUCAACUUUCAAGUUUGGAGUUCAAUUACAGCCUACCUUUAACGUAUCGGGUGACCCAGCUUCGCUGGGCACCCCCAGGGUGACCCACGAAAAUGGUUUACCUAUUUUACAAUCUUUUAAAGAUUUAUUUGGUUCAGGUUAUUUGGUUAAAAAAUCUGGGUCCGAUCUAGUCUGGGUUUAUACCCUUAAAGGAUAUAAAAAUAUGAUUGAAAAAGUUAUACCUUUCGUGGAUACAUAUGUUAGCCCUUUUAGUUGCAAGAGACACGAGUAUGAAGUGUUUAAAGAAAUAAGUCUUAGACUUAAUUCUCAAGAACAUCUUACGCAAGAGGGUUUAAUAAAAUUGGUAGAGCUGGCGUAUUUUAUUUAUAGUGCGCCAUAGGCGCAUGAUAAAUAAAAAUACUUAUCAAGGAAAAGGUAAGUUUAGAAAAAGAACACUAAAUGAGAUUAUUGAAAUUAUUAAAGAUAAAGAUAGCUUUUUCCAAAAAGAAUCUGUAACUCCACGUGAAGUGUAAGUUUAUAUCCUAGUUCCCUCAGAGACUAAACGUUAAACAAAAGUAAAAAUUACAUAAAUUUCAGACUCAUCUGAAUGUAUGAUAGUUUAUCUAUUAUAUAAAUAACCCCCUUUUAAAGGUUUGGUAAAGGAAUUUUGCUUUUGAUGAUAUAGUCCACAUAUUUAUAAUAAUAUAAAUAUUAAAGCCUAAGGUAGCGAAAUUUAUUGUCCGUUAAAUGCGGUCCCGCAUGAAUAAAGUAACGAUGGUCUCACUGUCUCUACAAGCAUCUCAGUGAAAUUGAAUUAGCCGUGCAGAUGCGGCUUACCUCCGGGUGGACGGGAAGAGUAAAACGCGACUAGCUAAAUUUAUUAUAACAAUGUGGUGUAAGCCCACCAAGUAAUCCAUUACUUGAGCCU
rfam:Rhizoctonia solani strain AG-1 IB complete mitochondrial genome, isolate 7/3/14